rnacentral:rRNA from 1 species
AUUGAACGCUGGCGGCAGGCUUAACACAUGCAAGUCGAGCGGAGAUGAGGUGCUUGCACCUAAUCUUAGCGGCGGACGGGUGAGUAAUGCUUAGGAAUCUGCCAUUUAGUGGCGGACAACAUUCCGAAAGGGAUGCUAAUACCGCAUACGCCCUACGGGGGAAAGCAGGGGAUCUUCGGACCUUGCGCUAAAUGAUGAGCCUAAGUCGGAUUAGCUAGUUGGUGGGGUAAAGGCCUACCAAGGCGACGAUCUGUAGCGGGUCUGAGAGGAUGAUCCGCCACACUGGGACUGAGAUACGGCCCAGACUCCUACGGGAGGCAGCAGUGGGGAAUAUUGGACAAUGGGCGGAAGCCUGAUCCAGCCAUGCCGCGUGUGUGAAGAAGGCCUUUUGGUUGUAAAGCACUUUAAGCGAGGAGGAGGCUACCUGGAUUAAUACUCUGGGAUAGUGGACGUUACUCGCAGAAUAAGCACCGGCUAACUCUGUGCCAGCAGCCGCGGUAAUACAGAGGGUGCGAGCGUUAAUCGGAUUUACUGGGCGUAAAGCGUGCGUAGGCGGCUGAUUAAGUCGGAUGUGAAAUCCCUGAGCUUAACUUAGGAAUUGCAUUCGAUACUGGUCAGCUAGAGUAUGGGAGAGGAUGGUAGAAUUCCAGGUGUAGCGGUGAAAUGCGUAGAGAUCUGGAGGAAUACCGAUGGCGAAGGCAGCCAUCUGGCCUAAUACUGACGCUGAGGUACGAAAGCAUGGGGAGCAAACAGGAUUAGAUACCCUGGUAGUCCAUGCCGUAAACGAUGUCUACUAGCCGUUGGGGCCUUUGAGGCUUUAGUGGCGCAGCUAACGCGAUAAGUAGACCGCCUGGGGAGUACGGUCGCAAGACUAAAACUCAAAUGAAUUGACGGGGGCCCGCACAAGCGGUGGAGCAUGUGGUUUAAUUCGAUGCAACGCGAAGAACCUUACCUGGCCUUGACAUACUAGAAACUUUCCAGAGAUGGAUUGGUGC